CAAUCAGAAUGAGGGAAGAGCUUCUCAAGCAAAGGGAUCAGCAUGUGAAAAGGCACAGAGGCACACAUGAUUCCAUGAGGGGAGUGAGAUACGAUGCUGGAAAGCAGGGCUGGGCUGGAUCAGACAGGCCCAUCUGUGGAGAAGUAGAAUGUGCCAGUUGCCUCUUAUCUAUGAGGAUCCAGACAGCCAGACCACAGCCUGGGUGGGAAGAGCUUGCACUACUGGACCAUUUGUUUAUCUUCGUGUGCAUCUUCUGUGAGUUACUCUCGGGAAUGAGGCAUUAAAGUUGGACCACAUUCAAGAGGAAAGAAAUUAGUCUCCAUCUUUUGAGAGAGACACUGUCUAAACCUUGGCCUCAAGACCUCUGAACUUGACCUCAUUCUCCAGGACUUCUGUCAGGCUACAGCAGAGGCCCCAAGAGGACACAUGCCUUUGCCCAAGGUCACAGCCUGAAGUGGUGGAACUGGACUUGGAAUCCAGGGCCAGCUGCCUCUCCACACCCAUGGCGCUUUCAUGGCACCUGGAGAGGCCAAGUAGGCAAGAAAGGAAAUGGAAUGAGUCGUUUACGGCCCCAGGCAUUUUUGGCCUCAACAAGUAAGUGAUUUCCCUAAUUCCUGUCUGCAGUUAAUCCAGACUUGGCAGCUGGGAACCAGGUUGCUGAAAAACAGGUUUUCUUCUCAACUCAGCAGCGCCACCUGCAGGACCCAAGGGAACACUGCAAAAAUGAUUCGGACCAGGUCCCCUGGUCUCUGCUGGAGGGGAGGGGUCCUGAAGAAGGGACAGACCUGAGGCGUCAUCUAAUGACCUUUCGUCUUUAAAAGGAGCGAGCUGAGACCGAGGAAGUCACAUUAGUGGCGGCAGAUCUGAAACUCUCUCUUCUGACUCUCAGUUCAAUACUCUCUCAUUCAAUAAACAUCAA